rnacentral:tRNA from 1 species
AGGCUCGUAGCUCAGCGGUUAGAGCACCGGCCUUUUAAGCCGGGUGUCGUGGGUUCGAAUCCCACCGGGCCUA